rnacentral:lncRNA from 1 species
GCAAAGGAAAAUUUUUGGGCUUAUUUAUUUUGUGGUCUAUUUGUUUUUAUCUUUGGUAACAGCUGAUUCAUUUAUGCGAGUGCGACUGAAGAAUUUUGAAUUUAAAUAUUUCAGUACAUGUUAUAUCUCUUGACCGAAGUGUACUAUGAUAAAUAUCACUUGAUCAAUAAAAAACAGCAGCCAAAUCAUUAUAAACCUUUUCCCACUGAACAUAUCUGGAAAGGCCAUUUAGAUUUACAUUUGUUUUAAGGGUUUAUUUUAGAGUUUUUCGACUUUGCGUUGUACUUCAUCAACCUCAAUUUUUUGGGGUAUCUUCCAUAUGAUUAACUCUUCAUCGUGGUCUCCCAUGGGUCUUUUCCAUGCAUGAUCAAGCUAUCCAUGGCAAGAUUAUGUUAUCUAUUGAUUCUAUUCCUCCAUAUACAAUGUUAUGUGAUAAUUAUUAACAAAAAAAUAAAAUCACUGAAGGUACAGCUUGUCCUGGGCAGCAUGUUUUACGGUUAAAGAAAUUGAUUUGUUGGAAUUAUUAUGAUUUUUUAUUAAGUUGGAGCCAGGCUGUUGCUAUUUGCUUAGUAAUUGUUUCAUAAAAUCACACUAGAAGGCUUAUUACUUAAAUGUAUAAUGGAAAGGGUUUAAUUUUACUCACACACACAGGUCAGAGUUUCAUAAAAUGAUCUUUUUGUGAAUUGACUUUAGGCCCUUUCCGACCAUAUAAUUAAGAGAGGGUUUGGAUACCCAUUAUUUUUAAGAUGGAAUCUGUUUCAUUUACUUCCAAUGCAGCACCAACUAUCAUUGGUGCUUUCUCUUUUUGAGGGACCUUAGCUAAAAUUUUGCACUUCAAUGGUUCAGGAUCUUCCUAAUUAUGCUCAGCAUACUGUGCCCAUUUUUUCUUUGCCACAAGAAUGGCUAUGGUGUGAGUCAUGGUGUGGUAAUGCCACAAAAUCCAAGGCAAAAACAAUUGAUCUGUGCAACAAUCCGAUGACAAAAGAGCCCAAACUUCAGGUGAAUAUUUUCUGUUUGAACUUUCUUCUACUUGGAUACACUUAAUUAACUUAUCUCCACUUUGGUCUACAGGGUGCUAGACGAAUUGUAUCUGAAUGGCCAGACCUUGAUUUCGAGGCGAGAAAAUUCACUGCACGAAUUUUGGGUGAUGAUCAAGAGCCUAUUCAAUUGCCUAUCCAAUCAAAGGAUUUGACUAAUGAAGAUUCACUGAAAGAAGACUUGGAAUCCAAAGCCGAGUUGUGAUUCGUGGACAUGAUUGACAGAAGUGUAUGUGCAAGUCAAAGUUCUUGAUAAAUCUGUGAUAUUUGAUGCAGUUGACGCCUUAAUUUCUUACUAAGGAGUGCUUGGCUUAAAUAUUGGCAUGCCACCAAACACUAACAACAGUGAAAUGCAAUGAAGAUUUGCCUCCUCUGUUAAGAAUUUUUUGUUAGAGAGAAAUGUUAGUAAAUUUUAGUCUAAUUAUGAGGUUUCUGUGCCAUAAUCUCAUGAAACUUAUAUGCCUCCAACUCUGCCCUUUGUUCUUUUCAAGAAUAAAUCUUUAGAAUGUGGGAAGAAUGUUUAGAAUCAGCAAUGCAAAUAUACCACAGUGAUAGUUUAACUUUAUUUAUAUAUUUCAGUGGACAGUGGCUGCAUGAUACUACAUUGAUUGAUUGAGAUUGAGGGGAAAACUCCUUUGGUUGGUUUGUUUUCCGCCCCAGUUGAUAGGUUCUUUAACCUUUAUAAAUUAUGAUAAGCAUAUCGCCUUAAUAACAAUUUGAGCACCAAAUUUAGUUUGGAUCAUUUUAUUGAAAAUAUUAAGAAAUAAAGUUAUUGAAAAUUGUUAAUUAAGUCCCGUUUAUUUUGUGUUAAAUUUAUUUGCUAAUAAGUUAAAAAACUCUUUAAAGUUAACAAUUAUCUAUAUUUUUAAAAUUAAAGAAACAAAUAUUGUUGUCAUUAUUUUAGUAAAUGCAUUUUCAUUAAAAUAUUUUAUCGUAAUAAAAUGAACAUACAUCUUUUAUAUAUAAUAGCAAAUGUUUUACAUGUAUGCAAAUAUUUCAUAGUAAUAAAAUGAACAUACAUCUUUUAUAUAUAUGUAUAUCUUUUAUAUUUGCAUUGUUUAUAUACUACACAAGUAUAACGUUAAAAACUCCCAAAACUGGAUAUUACUAUGAUACUUCUAAAAACAAGUUGAUAUGGUAUCCUCUUUCUAUCUCUCUUCUCUCUUCAAAUUCUUCCAUUCCCUCCAUCUCUACACACUCCUCUCCCCUUUGUCCUCUUUCUCUUCUCCCUCUCUCUUCUCUUCCAAGAUUUACAUUCAUGAAUGUUUUAUUUAUAAUAUAUAUAUAUUAUUUAAUAAAUUUUAUAUUAUUUUGGUUUCGGUUGUGAUGUCUAUUAUUUAUCAAAGAUGGUGCAACAACAAAAAGUUGUCCAGUACUUUUAAAGUUUGUCUUGUACUCUUUUGUCAUUGACAAAAAAUUAUCUACGUAGAUUGGCAGGGUAUAAGGCGAACGAGAUUUUUUUUAUUUAAACAAAUAAGACUAAGAUUUUUAUAUUAAAUUAUAAGUUUAUUAAUCUUUUAGUAAUAUAAUCAUUUUAGUUUGACAUAUUUAUAUAUAUUAUUAUAAAAUAAAAUUAAAAUAAAAUAUUAUAUAAAAUUAAAUUAAAUUUUUUAAAAUAUUAUGUUAAUUUAAAAAAAAAUAAUUCAUUCAUUCACUUAUUCAUUCGUUAAUCUAUUAAAAGAUAUAUUUUUAUUUAUUUAUAAAAAAAUAUUAAUAUAAAAUAAAUUUUUAAAUAAAUUUACAUAUCAUGGCAAAUUUUUAUAUAGCGCAAACUUAUACUUAAAAAAAGACCAUAUAUUAUUUAGAUAAUUUUUUUUUUUAUAUUAUGAGCAGUUUUUUUACUCAAUAUUAUUAUGAAUAAUUGAGAAAUGUUUUAGAGAUGUAAAAAGGAUAUGUUGGAUGUAUCAAAAAAAUAAAAGAUAUCUUGGAAAGUAAAACUAGAAAAAAAUAUUUUUAAUAAUAUAUAUUUACGAUGAAUGAAUUUAUUUAUUUAUUUAUCGAGUCUGCAGCGGAAAGCCCUAGCACCUGGUUGAGGGUGAUUGCACCAUCUCUGCUUGCUUCAACAGUUUUGUAGCAGUUUCAUUUUCGCAGUUCCGUUCAAAACCUAAGGUACACUUGCGCCUUUAACCGCACCGAGCACACACACUAAUUAUCUUCAGCGAACAAUUUUAAUUUCCAUCCGUAUUUUGAAUCUACAUCAGUUUGCAUCUCGAAUGAAUUUAUCUUCUAGGGUUUAGGAAUACUGUGUGUUUAUGUUUGCACAUGUAUAAUGUUGCUGAUAAAAAUAUGUGAAUUUAUUUAUUUAGGAGAAAAGUAAUGGAUGAAGGAAAACAUAAAUCGAGGAAAGAAGAAGGUGAUUCUAAGAGGAGUCACCGUGAUCGUGAUCGUGACAGAACUGUAGAAAGAGGUAAGGAUAGAACCGAUGGUAGGCACAAGGAUAAUAGGGAGAAGAGGGAUCGUGAAUCUAGAAGACAUGACAGAGAUAAAAGUACUGAUUCUGAUGAUAAACAUGAUAGGGAAAGGGAAAAGCGUAGAGAUAGUAAAGAUAAGGAUAAGGAUAGGACACGAGUUCAUGACGUCGAUAGAGAGAAAACCCGAGAUAGGAAAAGGGAGAGAGAUAGGGAAGACAAGGAGAAGGAGAGAUUGUUGAGGGAGAAAGAAAAAGAGAAGGAAAGAAAAGAGGAGAAGGAGAGGAUUAGAGAGAAAGAAAAGAUUAGGGAAAGGAGGGAUCAUGAGAGAGAGAAGGAAAAGGAAAAGGAAAAAGAAAGAGAAAAGGGGAGGAGAGGACGUGAGAGGGAGAAGCAUAGGGAUGUUAAUAGUGAAAACAGUGAUGGUGAGUCUAGGGAGAGGAGUCGGAAACGACAUAAGAAAGAGGAUGACGAUUACAAGGGGAGGGAGAAGGAUAAGAGUUCGAGCAAGUCGAACAGGAAAACUGAGGGACUUGAUGCAAGCCCUAGGAGAAAGAGUGAUAUAGAUGAUUCCGAUAACAAAGAUAAAGAGGAUAAACCUAGCCGUGAGGAGGAAAUGGAAGAUGAGCAACGGAGGUUGGAUGAAGAAAUGGAGAAGAGGAGGAGGAGAGUUCAAGAGUGGCAAGAGCUAAGGAGGAAGAAAGAAGAAGCAGAAAGAGAAAAGCAAGGUGAAGCAAGUGCUACUGAACCUGAGUCUGGUGGAAAGGCAUGGACACUUGAUGGGGAGGAGUCUGAUGAUGAAGAAGGAACAGGUAAACAUACAACUAUGGAUGUAGACGAAGACGACAAACUUGCUGAUAAGGAACCUGGGGAUUCUAUGGCGAUGGAUGUUGAUAAUGGAACAGUUGCAUCUGAUUUACAGAAUGGAGAUGCCGGUGCUAUGGAAGACGAUGAAAUAGACCCAUUAGAUGCUUUCAUGAAUUCUAUGGUUCUUCCUGAGGUUGAAAAGCUGAACAAUGCUGUUAGCUCGACACCUCUUGAUAAAGCUUCUGAUUUGAAGCCCAAGGAUAAAGGGGACGAGCGUAGUAAUGGUGGUGGCCAGUCAAAGAAAGGUUCAAACAAAUCUAUUGGACGGAUAAUUCCCGGUGAAGAGUCUGACUCGGAUUAUGCUGAUCCUGAAGUUGAAGGGGAUCCAUUAGAUGAAGAUGACGACGAGUUCAUGAAAAGAGUGAAGAAAACAAAAGCCGAAAAGCUUUCUAUAGUUGACCACUCAAAGAUCGACUAUAUACCAUUCAGAAAGAAUUUCUAUAUUGAAGUGAAGGAGGUCUCAAAGAUGUCACUUGAAGAAGUUGCAUUAUACAGGAAGCUGUUAGAGUUGAAGAUACAUGGAAAGGAUGUGCCCAAGCCUGUAAAAUCAUGGAACCAGACUGGACUUACUAGCAAAAUUUUAGAGAUGAUAAAGAAGCUGAACUUUGAAAAACCAAUGCCUAUUCAAGCUCAGGCGCUGCCUAUAAUUAUGAGUGGUCGAGAUUGCAUAGGCAUUGCUAAAACCGGGUCAGGUAAAACACUUGCUUUUGUUCUGCCAAUGUUGAGGCAUAUCAAGGAUCAGCCACCAGUUGUUGCCGGAGAUGGACCUAUUGGGCUUAUUAUGGCCCCUACAAGAGAACUUGUUCAACAGAUUCACAGUGAUAUAAAGAAGUUUACAAAGGUUAUGGGUAUCAGGUGUGUGCCUGUCUAUGGAGGUUCUGGUGUUGCUCAACAAAUCAGUGAGUUGAAACGUGGUACUGAGAUAGUGGUCUGUACCCCAGGUAGGAUGAUUGACAUACUAUGCACCAGUAGUGGAAAAAUUACAAACCUGCGUCGAGUCACUUAUUUGGUCAUGGAUGAGGCAGAUCGAAUGUUUGACAUGGGUUUUGAACCUCAAAUCACAAGAAUUGUUCAGAAUAUUCGGCCAGAUCGUCAAACAGUUCUCUUCUCUGCCACUUUCCCCCGCCAGGUUGAAAUUUUGGCUCGCAAGGUUUUGAAUAAACCUGUUGAAAUACAAGUUGGUGGGAGG